rnacentral:tRNA from 1 species
UGCGAGGUAACUCAAUUGGUAGAGUGCUGUCCUGUUAAGUCAGAAGUCGUGGGUUCGAAUCCCACUCUCGCAGCUA